GCGGUAGUGGUCCAGUGGUAAGACUCGACCCUCCCAAGGUCGCAACCCGGGUCCGAAUCCCGGCUGCCGCA
rnacentral:tRNA from 1 species